GGGUGCAACCAUACCAGCACUAAUGCACCGGAUCCCAUCAAAAUUCCGCAGUUAAGCGUGAUUGGGCGAGAGUAGUACUAGGAUGGGUGACCUCUUGGGAAGUCCUCGUGUUGCACCCC
rnacentral:rRNA from 1 species